UACGGAGGGGGCUAGCGUUGUUCGGAAUUACUGGGCGUAAAGCGCACGUAGGCGGCUUUGUAAGUUAGAGGUGAAAGCCCGGGGCUCAACCCCGGAAUUGCCUUUAAGACUGCAUCGCUAGAAUUGUGGAGAGGUAAGUGGAAUUCCGAGUGUAGAGGUGAAAUUCGUAGAUAUUCGGAAGAACACCAGUGGCGAAGGCGGCUCUCUGGGGCGGUACUGACGCUGAGACGCGAAAGCGUGGGGAGCGAACAGG
rnacentral:rRNA from 1 species